UACAGAGGUCCCGAGCGUUGUUCGGAUUCACUGGGCGUAAAGGGUGCGUAGGUGGUGGUGCAAGUUUGAUGUGAAAUCUCCGGGCUUAACCUGGAAAUGGCAUUGAAUACUGCAUUGCUUGAGGUUUGGAGGGGGGACUGGAAUUCUCGGUGUAGCAGUGAAAUGCGUAGAUAUCGAGAGGAACACCAGUGGCGAAGGCGAGUCCCUGGACAAAACCUGACACUGAGGCACGAAAGCUAGGGGAGCAAACAGG
rnacentral:rRNA from 1 species